GAUGCUACCGGGCGACCGGAUGCGGAUCUCGAAAGCCUGUCCCAGUUCGGACUGGAGUCUGCAACCCGACUCCACGAAGUUGGAUUCGCUAGUAAUCGCGCAUCAGCCAUGGCGCGGUGAAUACGUUCCCGGGCCUUGUACACACCGCCCGUCAAGCCAUGGAAGCCGGGAGUGCCUGAAGUGCGUGAGCGCAAGCAGCGCCCUAAGGUAAAACCGGUGACUGGGGCUAAGUCGUAACAAGGUAAC
rnacentral:rRNA from 1 species